GUAUCAGACGCCACCUCUCUGGGGACAUCUCAGGCCCUCCAAGGUUUGGAGGCCUAUCUUCACCCACCACCACUUCCCCUGCCAGUGGCGGUAUCGGUGCGUUGGUGGUUCUUUGUGUCUGGGGGUGGGCGUCCGGGUACACACCGGCUCACUCCUUGGCGGCCGCUUAUCGGGGCCUGGAGCCUGGGGCUUGCUGGGGCCACUUCGGAGGUGGGGUGCCCCUGGCCUCUCGGCCUGGGGCUCGGUCACUCAGGCACAGCUGGCUGCCGGCGGAGCUCACGGGCGCGUCACUGCAACUCCCCCUGGCUUCUGCUCCGCGGCUGCUGAGUGAGCCCUCAUCUGGGACUCUCCUCAGCUCUUACUGGGACAGUGGCGCGGCUGCCCCUCUGUUGGUCUUCCUUGGUCUCUUGUGUUCUGGGGGCCUCUGGAUGUCUGGAGUUUUGAUCUCCUCCAUACCUGCUUCAUACCCUGGAGGACGGGGCUGUGGCUCCCCCACACCCUCUAGCAGAUCGUUACAUGGAGAAACCUUUGGAAUGCAAGCAUGCUGAUCCACACAGGUAUGCACACAGGUGUACACACGGGUAUUCACAGACGCGGACUACAGCUUUCUUGGCUGCUGCCUCAAAGCACAUUGUGCGCUGUCUAUCUUGCGUGCUGCACAAUAUCGUUUAUUAUUUAGUAUCUACUGAUAUCUACUGCUAGCUAGUUUAUUGUGAUGGUGCUGUUUUUUUAUUAUGUUGCUCUUUGUUGUUUGCUUUCUCUUCUGUUUUUUUUCUCCAUACAGGUGACCCAGGUGUUUUGUUUGUUUGUUGUUGUUUUUUUUGUUUUUUGUUUUUUUUUCUUUCUUCCCCCCCUUCUCACCGUCUCUUCUCCCCUUUGGUUUUCUCUCUCUCCCUCUCUUUCUUUCAUUCUUUCUCCCUGUCCUAUCCCCCAGUCAUGUCUGUCCCGUUUGUAGCAACUGAAAAUAAAAUAAAUUCAUAAUUAUAAUAAAGGUCAAUCAAAUGGACCAAUAUGGCAAGGCCAUGAUGAUCCACUUGGUAAAAUAAAUCCGCUUGGCAUCUAUCUUGGCCUUAAGACAACAAUUCUGAUGGCUAAAGAUCCAAACGGGACAAAAAAAAAAAAAAAAAAAAAAGAAAUAACAGACUCUUGAGGCCUUCUGUCCAGGCCCCUAAAUUUAACCCAGUUAAUUACCAGUUAAGUACACCAGUCUAGAAGGGAGCUGCCAUUAAUGGAUAUGGCUGAUGGAGGUUGGGCCUACAAGGCCAGUCCUGUCCCUGGUUUUUAUCUGAGACAACCGGGGUAGAAAUUCUGAUCGUUUUGAGGCAGUUAGAGCUGGGUGAAUCGCCUCAUCCACAUUUGUUCUAUCUAAGCUCUGUACAGACUGUUGGGUAACAC
ensembl:lncRNA